GAUACCAAAUAAAACGGAGGGGGGGCAAUACACCAUCGUGCAGGCGUUCGUAACGCCUGAUGGUGGGCGGUUACAACCGUCCGCCUUCCCCAGUGAUCGAGGCUACAAGAAGCCCCGAUCGGCUACCAUUUCACCACCAGUUCAUCCUCCUCCUCCACUGUUUGUCUCCCUCUCUCACAACCCUCUCCGGUUGGCAGGACCUGGUGUUGAAACCGCGCCGCCGGAGCAGAAGGCCGCAUCGCCGGAGUAGGAGGCGGACGACCACUUUCAGAUCAGGUGAUUAAAGAUUUGUCACCCGGACGUAAGAAAUUGGAAAGCAUAUUGCAAUGAUAAAGACCACUAGGAGCAGGGAGCUUGAUGUUAUUCAGGGUUGGGGUAAUUGAAAAUGUUAUGUAAUAAUCAGAUUUUAGAAGCUCUGUACUGUUCCAACUUCAUGACUAAUGUUAUGACAUUAGUAAAAGAAACUAUUUAUUUUUAUUA